GGGUUGUGAGGUUAAGCGACUAAGCGUACACGGUGGAUGCCCUGGCAGUCAGAGGCGAUGAAGGACGUGCUAAUCUGCGAAAAGCGUCGGUAAGGUGAUAUGAACCGUUAUAACCGGCGAUGUCCGAAUGGGGAAACCCAGUGCAAUUCGUUGCACUAUCGUUAACUGAAUACAUAGGUUAACGAGGCGAACCGGGG
rnacentral:rRNA from 1 species